GAAAGUUGCAAAGUACUUUGAAGAGAGAGUUCAAAAGGACGUGAAACUGGUAGGAUGGAAGCAGAUAAAAUUGACGAACGGGUGUCGUAUUCAGGAUUGUAUCUUGUGUGCAGUUUGUUUUUACGGCCGUUGUGGGCCGGCGGCUUUGGUCAAUGCAAUGUGUUUGGCAUUGAGAGUGACCCUGUUGAGGGAUAUUCGCUCAGUGUGCGGUGCUUGGUAUGGCUAAAGUAUCGCUGGUCUUGAAGUCAGAGAUUUAUCUGACCCGUCUUGAAACACGGACCAAGGAGUGUAGCGUUUGCGCAAGUCUUAGAGUGUGUCGAAACUUUAAGGCGUAACGAAAGUGAAUAUAGCUUGAUCUAUUAACUUGGGAUGCAUUGUCUCUUGUGGAUGAUGUUGGACCAUGGUUUUAUCGCGAUUGCUUGCAAUGCGGUGAAAAUUGAGCGCAAAUGGUGCGACCCGAAAGAUGGUGAACUAUGCCUGAGCAGGAUGAAGCCGGAGGAAACUCUGGUGGAAGUCCGAAGCGGUUCUGACGUGCAAAUCGAUCGUCUGACUUGGGUAUAGGGGCGAAAGACUAAUCGAACCAUCUAGUAGC
rnacentral:rRNA from 1 species